rnacentral:rRNA from 1 species
UUAAAUUGAAGAGUUUGAUCAUGGCUCAGAUUGAACGCUGGCGGCAGGCCUAACACAUGCAAGUCGAACGGUAACAGGAAGCAGCUUGCUGCUUUGCUGACGAGUGGCGGACGGGUGAGUAAUGUCUGGGAAACUGCCCGAUGGAGGGGGAUAACUACUGGAAACGGUAGCUAAUACCGCAUAACGUCGCAAGACCAAAGAGGGGGACCUUAGGGCCUCUUGCCAACGGAUGUGCCCAGAUGGGAUUAGCUAGUAGGUGGGGUAACG